rnacentral:rRNA from 1 species
CCUACGGGGGGCAGCAGUGGGGAAUAUUGGACAAUGGGGGGAACCCUGAUCCAGCCAUGCCGCGUGUGUGAAGAAGGCCCUCGGGUUGUAAAGCACUUUCAGUGAGGAAGAACGCCUGGUGGUUAAUACCCAUCAGGAAAGACAUCACUCACAGAAGAAGCACCGGCUAACUCUGUGCCAGCAGCCGCGGUAAUACGGAGGGUGCGAGCGUUAAUCGGAAUUACUGGGCGUAAAGCGCGCGUAGGUGGCUUGAUAAGCCGGUUGUGAAAGCCCCGGGCUCAACCUGGGAACGGCAUCCGGAACUGUCAAGCUAGAGUGCAGGAGAGGAAGGUAGAAUUCCCGGUGUAGCGGUGAAAUGCGUAGAGAUCGGGAGGAAUACCAGUGGCGAAGGCGGCCUUCUGGACUGACACUGACACUGAGGUGCGAAAGCGUGGGUAGCAAACAGGAUUAGAUACCCUUGUAGUC